GUUCGCUUCAGCAGCACAUAUACUAAAACUGGAAUGAUACAGAGAAGACUAGCAUGGCCCCUGCACAAGGAUAACACGCAAAUUCAUGAAGCACUCUAUAUUUUG
rnacentral:snRNA from 2 species